AUCACAGGCCUCCACCGAAAGAUCCGUCAAUUGAAAGGCGUAGCUCAGGAGAUUGAGUCAGAAGCGAAGUUUCAGAAUGACUUCCUAAGUCAAUUGCAAAUGACCCUCAUAAAAGCUCAAGCCGGGGUGAAGAAUAACAUGAGAAGGAUGAACAAGAGCAUAAUUCAGCAUGGCUCCAACCACCUUUUCCAUGUCAUCAUGUUUGCGCUCCUUUGUUUCUUCGUCGUCUACCUCUGGGCUAAGUUCUCCAGAAGAUGAGAGAGGCCGAGUGUAGCAUCA
rnacentral:misc_RNA from 1 species